rnacentral:tRNA from 1 species
GUUUUAAUAAUUUAAUUAAAAUACUGGUCUUGUAAACCAGAAAUAAAGUCAUCUUUUUAAAACA